rnacentral:rRNA from 1 species
AGCAGCCGCGGUAAUUUCAGCUCCAAUAGCGUAUAUUAAAGUUGUUGCAGUUAAAAAGCUCGUAGUUGAAUUUUAGGCCUGGCCGGGCGGUCCGUCUUUGGCGAGUACUGUCCUGUGUCGGGUCUUCCUUCUGGUGAACCAGCAUGUCCUUUAUUGGGUGUGCUGGGGAGCCAGGACCAUUACCUUGAAAAAAUUAGAGUGUUUAAAGCGGGCUUUUGCUUGAAUAGAUUAGCAUGGAAUAAUAGAAUAGGACGUUGUGGUUCUAUUUUGUUGGUUUCUAGGACCACCGUAAUGAUUAAUAGGGAUAGUUGGGGGCAUUAGUAUUCAAUUGUCAGAGGUGAAAUUCUUGGAUUUAUGAAGACUAACUAUUGCGAAAGCAUUUGCCAAGGAUGUUUUCAUUAAUCAAGAACGAAAGUUAGGGGAUCGAAGACGAUCAGAUACCGUCGUAGUCUUAACCAUAAACUAUGCCGACUAGGAAUCGGGCGACGUUAUUUCAUGACUCGCUCGGCGCCUUA